rnacentral:rRNA from 1 species
UACGUAGGGUGCAAGCGUUGUCCGGAAUUAUUGGGCGUAAAGGGCUCGUAGGCGGUCCGUCACGUCGGGAGUGAAAACUUGGGGCUUAACCCCAAGCCUGCUUCCGAUACGGGCAGACUAGAGGUAUGCAGGGGAGAACAGAAUUCCUGGUGUAGCGGUGGAAUGCGCAGAUAUCAGGAGGAACACCGGUGGCGAAGGCGGUUCUCUGGAACGGUACUGACGCUGAGACGCGAAAGCGUGGGGAGCGAACAGG